CCUACGGGGGGCAGCAGUGAGGAAUAUUGGUCAAUGGACGAGAGUCUGAACCAGACAAGUAGCGUGAAGGAUGACUGCCCUAUGGGUUGUAAACUUCUUUUAUAUGGGAAUAAAAUGUUCCACGUGUGGGAUUUUGUAUGUACCAUAUGAAUAAGGAUCGGCUAACUCCGUGCCAGCAGCCGCGGUAAUACGGAGGAUCCGAGCGUUAUCCGGAUUUAUUGGGUUUAAAGGGAGCGUAGGUGGAUUGUUAAGUCAGUUGUGAAAGUUUGCGGCUCAACCGUAAAAUUGCAGUUGAAACUGGCAGUCUUGAGUACAGUAGAGGUGGGCGGAAUUCGUGGUGUAGCGGUGAAAUGCUUAGAUAUCACGAAGAACUCCGAUUGCGAAGGCAGUUCACUGGACUGCAACUGACACUGAGGCUCGAAAGUGUGGGUAUCAAACAGGAUUAGAUACCCGGGUAGUC
rnacentral:rRNA from 1 species